rnacentral:rRNA from 1 species
GAUGAACGCUAGCGGCGUGCUUAACACAUGCAAGUCGAACGGAAAGGCUCCUGCUUGCAGGGGUACUCGAGUGGCGAACGGGUGAGUAACACGUGGGUGAUCUGCCCUGCACUUCGGGAUAAGCCUGGGAAACUGGGUCUAAUACCGGAUAGGACGAUGGUUUGGAUGCCAUUGUGGAAAGUUUUUCGGUGUGGGAUGAGCUCGCGGCCUAUCAGCUUGUUGGUGGGGUAAUGGCCUACCAAGGCGUCGACGGGUAGCCGGCCUGAGAGGGUGUACGGCCACAUUGGGACUGAGAUACGGCCCAGACUCCUACGGGAGGCAGCAGUGGGGAAUAUUGCACAAUGGGCGCAAGCCUGAUGCAGCGACGCCGCGUGGGGGAUGACGGCCUUCGGGUUGUAAACUCCUUUCGCUAGGGACGAAGCGUUUUGUGACGGUACCUGGAGAAGAAGCACCGGCUAACUACGUG